rnacentral:rRNA from 1 species
GACGAACGCUGGCGGCGUGCCUAAUACAUGCAAGUCGAACGCUGAAGAGAGGAGCUUGCUCUUCUUGGAUGAGUUGCGAACGGGUGAGUAACGCGUAGGUAACCUGCCUUGUAGCGGGGGAUAACUAUUGGAAACGAUAGCUAAUACCGCAUAACAAUGGAUGACACAUGUCAUUUAUUUGAAAGGGGCAAUUGCUCCACUACAAGAUGGACCUGCGUUGUAUUAGCUAGUAGGUGAGGUAAUGGCUCACCUAGGCGACGAUACAUAGCCGACCUGAGAGGGUGAUCGGCCACACUGGGACUGAGACACGGCCCAGACUCCUACGGGAGGCAGCAGUAGGGAAUCUUCGGCAAUGGGGGCAACCCUGACCGAGCAACGCCGCGUGAGUGAAGAAGAUUUUCGGAUCGUAAAGCUCUGUUGUAAGUCAAGAACGGGUGUGAGAGUGGAAAGUUCACACUGUGACGGUAGCUUACCAGAAAGGGACGGCUAACUACGUG